AUACAGAGGGUGCGAGCGUUAAUCGGAAUUACUGGGCGUAAAGCGCGCGUAGGCGGCUUGAUAAGUCGGAUGUGAAAGCCCCGGGCUUAACCUGGGAAUUGCAUUCGAAACUGUCAGGCUAGAGUAUGGUAGAGGGUAGUGGAAUUCCGGGUGUAGCGGUGAAAUGCGUAGAUAUCCGGAGGAACACCAGUGGCGAAGGCGGCUACCUGGACCAAUACUGACGCUCAGGUGCGAAAGCGUGGGGAGCAAACAGGAUUAGAUACCCCGGUAGUCC
rnacentral:rRNA from 1 species